UCCAUCAUCAUCACCAUUAAUUAAGGCGAGGAAGUCUAGCAAUCGAGGAAGAUAUCCCCAUUCGACCGCCUCCUAGCUCCCAUGUAUCCCCAUUCUUCCUCCAUAGCCCGCGCUCGCCCGGCCGCUGCAGCCUCGCCGCCCCAUCCCCCUAUGCCGGCCCUCCCCAACGCCGCUUCCCCACGCCACCAUCCGCGGUCCCCCGAAACCCCAGCUGCUCCUCUUCAAGCAACGCAACGCAUCGAGGACGACGCGGCUCUGCCGGAACGGCACCGGCUGGGCCUCGUCGGACGACUAACCGUCUGCGGCCGUCUUCUUCUCGUCCGCGGAAUCAAGCGCCGCCCCUCCUAGCCGUCCCAGGCCACCGGACACAUCGACUUCUCAUCGACAAGGUAGAGGAGGACGGCCACAGGGAGGAUGGUUGAAAACAGGUUGGUCAUGAGGAGCUGCUGACGUCGCCGUCCGGAGUGGGGAGCCGGGAGUGGGCGCACAAGACGAGUAGGCCAUCCAGUCCAGUCUCGACCUCGUCGUCCAGCCCCGUGAAAGAGCUCUGUCACGGGCAAGGGCGAGGCUUCUUGAACAAGCAGGCACUUCCGGCCUCGACGUUGUUGUUUCGAUCCUGCCCGGCCAAGCGCGAGCACUUCUCCCGAUUCAGAAUAAACUCUAGAUGGGGAUCGAUGUGGUAAUCUUGAUCUUCAGCCUGCUGCCAGCCCUAACCUACGGUGACACGGAAAUGGAAGCAAGUAGGCGUCCACCUAGGCGCUUCAGUCCAUGAACGCCCAGCUGCAAAGCCACCGUCUCCCAUCGGCUUCUCGCUCUAGGGCUCGAGGCCUGCAAGGACUUGCUGCCGACAACACGGGUCGCUGACGCGGACCAAGAGUCGCCUUCCAGGCCCUCCACCAGCACGUUGCAGCAACCCCCUCAAUUCCGGUUAUGCUCCACCGAGAGCAAGACCACCACAGUACAAGAAGAUAUACGGGGAUAAAUCUUUGCCAGUGGCAGCGGUGGCCUCUUCUUGGUCUUAAUGUUGUAGACAUACGGGGAUAAAUCUUUGCCAGUGGCAGCGGUGGCCUCUUCUUGGUCUUAAUGUUGUAGAGAAUGUGGCAGCGGUGGCCUCUUCUUGGUCUUAAUGUUGUAGCAUUUAUCCUCUGUCCAAGUAAGAAGAACAGAUCAAGCGCCACCAUGGUGCUGUCAUUGUGGAGCGCUGAGUACGCAAGCCCUGCCGUGGCACUGUACGAGCCGAGCUUCUUCAACCAGUGGUAGUCGCUAGAGCAGUACAAAGAGGAGCGGAUUGACAUGGCACACAUGAAGGGGAGAAAUGGAUGUGGCCCUGAUGCAGUAGCGGUAGUGGAGUAUUAAAGAUGGAGAUGGCCAGGAGGUAGCCAUGGUUUCGACUACUUCAACUUCCCUUGCUGCCAUGUGAUGGAGGCGAGUUCACUGUGUUGCAGCCAUGGCAGCGUCCGCUUUCUUCUAGGACUCCAUGCUCUAGCUUAUUGUGUUCCACGGCCUCCUCACUGGUAGACUUGUAUGCGAGAAGGUCAAUCCGGGCAGUGCAGCAGGCGUUCCGGAGCGAGAUGAUGGUGACGAGGAUGCCCAAACGUUUGGACAUGAGCUGGAUGAGAAGCUUUCCAUGAUCAAGUGCUGUCCCGCAGCUGUGUUGUCCAGUAGCACAAGUGCUGUCCUCGGCGGCGCUUAUGAGAAGUCCAAGAAGAAGGAGCAAUCAAGUCUCUCAUCUGGAGGUAUAUCUUUCAAAGGCUUCCCUUGAGGAAAGAGGGCCGGUAUGGAUGACAUCCUCAAUGACCUUACCUCAUGGCGGCCCUUUUGACAAAGAGGUUAUGACGGCUCUUCAGGAUGGUGCACUGGAUACUGAUAGUCUGAUGCACGUUGUGAACCACUUGGAAAGAUAUACAUACACAUCGACUGGAUGGCCAGAGCAGCAACUACACAUGUAUUGAGGACUUGGGAGCAUUUGGUCCCGCUUACAGGUAGUAUGGAAUGAUACAUCGACUCUGGGCAUUUCUUGUGUGCCAUCUCUACAUUUUAUGAAGAAAAUACCAGUUGUGUUUUUGUAUUUCAGCGGAGAAAUGGAGCCGGCCAGCAGAGCUGGCUCUGGUCGCUGGAUCCAGCCAGCAAGUAGCCUGUGGGUUUUGGUACUUUUCUGGUUGCCUAUUGUGUUGUCUGGGAUCAAUCGUGUGGGAGUGCAAUGAAUGCUUCUUUUCACUAAUACCAGUUAUGGUGAGAUACAUAGCGAGCAACCAGCACUAUUUCGGUUGAGCUCAUCAUGCCUGGUGGUCUAGAUUAUAGUUUUUUUAUAAUAAGGUGAGUUGUGAAUUCAGGUAUAGCAUUUACAGCAUUUUGCAUUAUUGUGCCUUGGAAACUUCUCAUUUUCCAUUAUAAUAUCCCAAUGAUAGGCUCAGUGAAAUUCCAAAGUUUGAGAUGGUCUGCUUGUCUUUUAGUUGAGAUAUGAAGCUAUCUUCAUCUACAUUCCAGAGUGCCAGCCUGCUACAUAGAACCUUGUACAUACUGGCUGCAUAUUAACCUAAGAGCCAAAACACCAUGUCCUAAAUCAUCAUGCUAUUAGGCUCUGUAUCCACUUUAUACCAGUCGAGUCUGGUAAAUAAAAGUGAAAAAAUGGCUAAUCUGAAUGUGGUUUCGUCUCUCAUUAAUAACUGACUAAUAUGUUCUACUCCAUCAUCCUAUACCUAGUAGUAGCACAUGGAGUGACACAUGGCUUGUCUGAAAGAAAUCAUUUUUGCUAUUGUUGUUUUUCCUUUUUGUAAUGGACAGAAAACCAGUGAGUAAUGCUCUGGUUGUGUCGUGUGGGUUGUUUAGUCAAAACCCUCCUUGAAAUCUAUCUAUUCUUGCUAGAUGUUCUCUAGAAGUGACCAAGAUGGCUUGUUUUUGUGCAAGGAUGAUGACGAGGACUAGAUGGCAGCCAGGGUAGCAGCUGUGACCUGUAGCUGCUGCAGCUUGGUGCAUCUUACUCGGAUGGCAGCUGGAAGACUCGUGGGACAAUGGGCAUCAGCAGCUGGAAGACUCGUGGGACAAUGGGCAGCGGCAGCUGGAAGACUCGUGGGACAAUGGACAUCUUCAUAUAUACGGCUUGGUCGUUGAACAAUCUCUAAGCAGAUGCAGCUUUCUUUCUAGCUCCUUAUUUAUCUCUGCAUUAUUUAUGGUUGCAACCGAGCUUUGAGAUUUGAGAGCAUCUUGUAACCUGGCAUGUAUGUGUUGUACGUAACCGUCCCAACUUUCAUUGAUGUUUGUUGUUUGGUAUUGCACUAUUUUUGUUUGAUUAUUCCUUUGGGGAGGUUGAUUGUAGGACUGAAUGUCAAAUGAGUUGUGAUGUGUGCACUCUA